AUGUAGAGCAAUCUCUGUCUAAGUAGGGGUAAAUUACUCUUUAAAAAAAAAAAAAUCCUAGAUAGUUUUCCCUUCAAGUAAAGCGUCUUGU
rnacentral:pre_miRNA from 1 species